AAGUCCGGAUGUAAAUGGAACGUAGCAUCCGUUCUACAAAUGAAUUCCCCGCUCGUGUUUGACAGUCGAGCUACAAACUGCGUCUCGGCUGAACUAACGUGCUCGGGGAUUAAUCACGGAACACUUCCACGUUAUUUACUCUGACAGAACGAGGCGUUACUGGAACGCGGCGCACGCACGACUCUGCCAAAGAGUUGUUUGACAAGUAGCAUCAGCUGGCGUCGCGUCAAGAUAAACACCACGCGGAGAUGAAUGUGUGAAGCUGAUUUAGAAAACACGUGUGUGUGUGUGUGUGUGUGUGUGUGUGUGUGUGUGUGUGUGUGUGUGUGUGUGUGUGUGUGUGUUCCCUGCAGGAGGCAGGAGAGUUAUCUGCAGAGGAUGGAGAGGACGACGACCCCGGUUCCUUUGACAUCCAGCAGUGCCACACACACGUCAUCCAGGAGCGAGUCAGUCGAGAGUAAACCGAAGAAAAGUUUGAGAGAAGUCCAGCUGGAUCAGAAGAGGGUGAACUCAGCGUUUCUGGACAGAAUCGAGGGCAGAGGCGGCGGCGUUCAGAAGGCGGAGCCUCCCUGUUUGUCCUCUGCUGAUUUACCACAGACGUCCUCUUCUCUGACUGGACGACAGGGUGGUUCCACUCACCUGGACGCGGAACCAUAACAGAACCACACACAGGAACAGGAAACUGAGUUGUAUCUUGACUAUGACUUUGUUUUGAGGAGACUGAUGAGCGACUUCCCACAAUGCAACAGAAAAUUCCUUGAGGACAUCAUCAACCAGUGCCACGGCGACUACGAGCAGAUUCACUCUCUGCUCAGCUGAAGUGGAAGAGUUGGGUUUUUGGUGGUAUAUGAGGUGUCAUCACAUACACAGACACAAGGGUUUAUAGGAAGAAAGUCAGUAUAUAUACAUAUAUACAUAUAUAUAUAUAUACAUAUACAGUAUAUGUAUAUAUAAGUAUAAUCAUUUGUUUUUUAUUUCCUUUUGUAUGAGCCUUCUAUUAUAGGGGCCGCCAUGUUUCUACAGGAAGUCAAACAGACAAACCAGCUGGAUCGUGCAUGUCUUCAUCUUUUUCUCUUGUAUUUAAAGGCCACUGUAGUUCCCUGACACACCAUCCUGCAUAUGCUGCGAUCUGCAGUUUCACCAGUAGAUGUCACUAUUUCCCACACACUGGACCUUUAGUAAAAAGCUUGUCUAAUAAAAUCAGCUCAAGUCUACUUUAUACUGUAGACUAUAUUUACCAUCUCUUUCACUGUUAGAUGACCCUUUAUUUGACUGAAAGGUCAAGUUAGUAAACCACUCACUCUCCCACACCAAAGCCCAGAGAGAAAAUCAGUGAU